rnacentral:rRNA from 1 species
CGGAUCAGCAUGCCGCGGUGAAUACGUUCCCGGGCCUUGUACACACCGCCCGUCACACCAUGAGAGUCGGGAACACCCGAAGUCCGUAGCCUAACCGCGAAGGGGGCGCGGCCGAAGGUGGGUUCGAUAAUUGGGGUGAAGUCGUAACAAGGUAUC